rnacentral:lncRNA from 1 species
GGAGGGCGGCGCUUGCGGGGACCGGGCUGCUCCGGGCCCUGGGGACCCCUGCGCUUCGCUCACUCCUCCCCCGCCGGGGCUCCGCGGGCCAGCGCUGCGGCCGCCAGGGUGCGCCCCCCCGCCCCGCCCCGCCCCGCCGCCGUCCCCGGCCCGCUCCGCCCGAGCCCCCCCUCGCCGCGCUGCGCGCUCCGCCCGAGCCGCCGCCGCCGCCGCCGCGUGCUCCCGCUGUCUCCUCGCUCCAGCCGAGCGAGCCGGAGGAGCCGGGGAGAGGGAGAGAGCGAAAGGGGGAGGAGAGAGGGAGAAGGAGGGCGGGAGGGAGGGGAGCAGAGGGAGAGGAGGCGGCGGCGAGCAGGAGCGAGCGCGGAGCGCCGAGCCGCGGGGCAGCUCCGGAGCCGGGAGCCUCCUCGGACAGCCGCCCGCCCCGGCCCGGCCCGGCCCCGCUCCAGCGCCCGCCCGCUCGGAGGACACGCGGCCGCCGCCGCCGAGCCCGGCCCGCGCCCCUCGCCGCCCGCUCCGCUGCCCGCUCGGGGCCGGGAUGCAGCCGGGGCAUGGCCGCCGGGCCCCCGUCACCUGCCGCGGGGAGCGCUGAGCCCGUUGAGAAUCUCAGGUCCCUGAGAACCUGAAGCUUUUCCUGCUGAUUCUCACUAUUUCUCAGCAAAUUUCUACCCGAGAAAGUUCCAGAAAGAACCCCGUGGGAGGCCUCCCUGCUGCAGUGAAGCAGGCCUCACCCACCACUACCAG